rnacentral:ncRNA from 2 species
UGUAUCCUUCGGGGCAGGGUGAAAUUCCCUACCGGCGGUGAUGAAGCAAAAGCUUCUAAGCCCGUGACCCGCUUGCCAAUGGCAAACGGUGGACUUGGUGAAAAUCCAGGGCCGACAGUAUAGUCUGGAUGGGAGAAGGAUUGG